rnacentral:rRNA from 1 species
UACGGGGGGAGCAAGCGUUGUUCGGAUUUACUGGGCGUAAAGGGCGCGUAGGCGGCCACCGCAAGUCAGUUGUGAAAUCUCUGGGCUUAACCCAGAACGGUCAGCUGAUACUGCGGGGCUAGAGCGCAGAAGGGGCAACUGGAAUUCUCGGUGUAGCGGUGAAAUGCGUAGAUAUCGAGAGGAACACCUGCGGCGAAGGCGGGUUGCUGGGCUGACACUGACGCUGACAGCGCGAAAGCUAGGGGAGCGAACGGG